UACGUAGGGGGCAAGCGUUGUCCGGAAUCAUUGGGCGUAAAGCGCGUGUAGGCGGCCCGAUAAGUCCGCUGUGAAAGUCCAGGGCUCAACCCUGGGAUGCCGGUGGAUACUGUCGGGCUCGAGUCCGGAAGAGGAGUGUGGAAUUCCUGGUGUAGCAGUGAAAUGCGUAGAUAUCAGGAGGAAUACCGAUGGCGAAGGCAGGUCUCUGGGCUAUAACUGACGCUCAUGCACGAAAGCGUGGGGAGCAAACAGG
rnacentral:rRNA from 1 species